GCUCCGGUGGCGCAAUUGGUUAGUGCAUGGUACUGAUGAUACUGAGGUUGUGAGUUCAAGUCUCACCCGGAGCA
rnacentral:tRNA from 1 species